GUGGGGAAUAUUGGACAAUGGGGGGAACCCUGAUCCAGCCAUGCCGCGUGUGUGAAGAAGGCCUUUUGGUUGUAAAGCACUUUAAGCGAGGAGGAGGCUACCGAGAUUAAUACUCUUGGAUAGUGGACGUUACUCGCAGAAUAAGCACCGGCUAACUCUGUGCCAGCAGCCGCGGUAAUACAGAGGGUACAAGCGUUAAUCGGAUUUACUGGGCGUAAAGCGCGCGUAGGUGGCCAAUUAAGUCAAAUGUGAAAUCCCCGAGCUUAACUUGGGAAUUGCAUUCGAUACUGGUUGGCUAGAGUAUGGGAGAGGAUGGUAGAAUUCCAGGUGUAGCGGUGAAAUGCGUAGAGAUCUGGAGGAAUACCGAUGGCGAAGGCAGCCAUCUGGCCUAAUACUGACACUGAGGUGCGAAAGCAUGGGGAGCAAACAGGAUUAGAAACCCCAGCAUCC
rnacentral:rRNA from 1 species